CCUACGGGUGGCAGCAGUGAGGAAUAUUGGUCAAUGGGCGCGAGCCUGAACCAGCCAAGUCGCGUGAGGGAAGACGGUCCUAUGGAUUGUAAACCUCUUUUUUCGAGGAGCAAAAGACGCCACGCGUGGCGUUCCGAGAGUACCCGAAGAAAAAGCAUCGGCUAACUCCGUGCCAGCCGCCGCGGUACUACGGGGGAUGCGAGCGUUAUCGGGUUUUAUUGGGUUUAAGGGGUGCGCAGGCGGAAGAUAAAGUCAGCGGGAAAAUUGAGAGGCUCAACCUCUUCGAGCCGUUGAAACUGGUUGUCUUGAGUGAGCGAGAAGUAUGCGGAAUGCGUGGUGUAGCGGUGAAAUGCAUAGAUAUCACGAAGAACUCCGAUUGCGAAGGCAGCAUACCGGCGCUCAACUGACGCUCAUGCACGAAAGUGUGGGUAUCGAACAGGAUUAGAUACCCGAGUAGUC
rnacentral:rRNA from 1 species